GGAACAUUGGCAUGAAUGAAGGUACGCACAUAUAUAUAUAAGUGUAUAUAUAUAUAUAUAUGUAUGUAUGUAUGAUAAUAAGUACGUAGGUGUGAAUGUAUGUGUGAAUGAAUGUUCAAUGCUUAAGACAUAUGCAUGAACGUAUCAAAGGGUUCGAGUAUUUAUGGAUACUAAUGAUGUGCGUUGAGUUGGAAUGUAAUGUAGGUAUGGGGUCGUUGGCUUCAUGAAGAAAUGGAGCUGGAUUUGGAUAAGAGUAUUUAAGAAAGCGCUUGGACAAUUCCACGACUACUUUAUAGAAUGCUCUACGAAAUUUUAUUAUAUAGUUUAAUGUUGAAUGGUAUGUUAAUAACUAAUGGUUUGGUUGUACGUGGUGUCCACAGGUAUCGCUUGGGUUUUCUCUACUUUUAUUGAAGUGAAGCGGACUUAGUUCGAGUUGAGAGCAAGGAUUGUACGGGGUAGAAUGGUCACAUAGUGUAACUCAUAUAGGUUUUGAAGUAUUAAUGUUAUAAAACGUUAUAAAUCCGUUUUAAUGAAUAUAUGGCAUUUCGCAUUUGAACUUUCAUGUGUUUGAUAUGUCUAUUAAAGAACGAAAUUUUUGGGCUCUUGUUUUCCGCUGCGUCGUAUUUUAAGUUAUUACGCGUUAGUCUUACAGGGAAUUGUUCUUAUUACGAACGGGUCAUGCCCGAAUUUUGUUAAAUAAUAGUAUGAUAAUAUUACAUUUUGGAAUGUGUAAUUUGGGCGUAACAAGUUGGUAUCAGAGCCCUGGUUUGAGAGAAUUAAGUACGAGAGUAUAAGUACUUGAACUCAAACCUGUGUGCUCUUGUGAUAAGGAACCCGUACAAUCCAUGACUCGAUCAAGAUCUAAAGGUAGAAAUGGAACGAAAAUGUGUAAGUAUGUAUUAGAUUAUGUAUUUGAAAGAAACUAAUAGUGUGUUAUGUGCAAGGUAAGCUUAAGAUCUUGAAGAGGAUGAUCCGUGAAUACAGAAUAGGAUGAACGCUAAGGCGGGCAAAGGUGCAAAUAGGCAAAUUAACCCCAGGUACACAUUAUUAAUAUGUAUGAGUACCGAUGUCAAAAGAAAAAGGAAGGGGUCUCCUUGGGAGGGAAAUUAUUAAACGAAAGACAAUGAUGUGGUCUUGGGGAAGUUUUAGAAAUGUGCACGAAACUGAAACCCAUUUCUCGGGCAUAAGGCGAUGAUUACACGAAGGCACGAAACUAGUGUGUGAAUUGCGCACCUGGCCAGUACGCAAGAAGCAUAUGACGUUCGUGAGACCGUGGCAAUUAUUGCAGGUAUGUCCGGUAGAACUGGGUAGCAGGUGGGCGCUAUGUUGUAGCGAAUCCAAAAUAGCAAAUCCAUUGCGGAUUUGGUUAUGCUAACGAAGGUUAUGAAAAGUUAUGCGAGUCGACCGGUUCUAGCGAACAAGUCGAAUAAGAAUAAGCUACCAUCCAUUUUGAACGGGUGAUUUUGAAUGCUCUAAUGAAUGCUAGAAGCUUAAUCCGUUAUACGGAUUGAAAGAAGAAGUUAUGAUUAAAUGUGAAAAACCCAAUUAUUUGGGUAGUGGAAAAUGUGUAUGCUUAACUCUCGUUGAGAGUGUUUAUGCCAAACCCAAUUAUUUGGGGUAGUGGAAUGUGUAUGCUUAACUCUCGUUGAGAGUGUUUAUGCCAAACCCAAUUAUUUGGGUAGUGGAAUGUGUAUGCUUAACUCUCCUUGAGAGUGCUUAUGCCGAAACCCAAUUAUUUGGGUAGUCGAAUGUGUAUGCUUAACUCUCUUUGAGAGUGUUUAUGCCAAACCCAAUUACUUGGGUAGUCGAAUGUGUAAGAAAGAAGAAAGCUCAUAUGUGGAUGGAACUAAAAUGAAGUGAUUAUGAUUCGACAACUGAGAUGACUAACUUUAAAAUCUUGUUGCCGAAGGUAGGUAAAACUUUAAGUUUUUGCUAGAGCACAUGUAAGAAAGAAAAGGUACGAAUGAUAUGUUUGAAGCCGAUAGUGUGUAAGUUAAGAUUUUUCCUUAAGGCGGAUGUGGGAUUUUAAGUUCAUAUGAUAGAAUGUGAAUUUACAAGCGUGUAGGAAGAAACGGGAGGUUAAACGGGUAAACGGUUCAAAAGACACGCGCGUUUUAGUGCGUUCGGACGACGAAACGGAUCUGCAGUAAAGGGACUUUUCUAGAGGCCGUCGCCGACGGGUUCCCACCCCGUCGCCGACGGGCUCCCAAAAGUGAGAAAGAGGCCGACGGCCUAACCGACUGGUUACGGGUUAAAUUGGAUGACGGGCAUUUUAAGAGGCCGUCGCCGACGGGUGCCCACCCCGUCGCCGACGGGCUGUCUAGCCCACUUCUCCGUUUUGCUUAAUUUUGCAUUUCCAAAUGAUCCGUAACGCAUUCCGAUGAUUCGUAAAGUUUCUUAUGAGCAUAUAGGGAUGUACAUAAGUAGAUAAGCGUGUAAGUAUGUUUAUAUGUAACCGUAUAUGUACGUAGAACUUAUGCAAGUAGGUAUGCGCGAAAGUAUGUAAGUUUAUAGUGUGGGAACAAGUACUAGUUAUGUAUGUAUAAAUGUGUAUGUAUAGAUAUCGGUUUAUGUAGGUACGCAAGUAUUUAUAUAAGAGCACAAGCAUCAUGCGAAUGAAUAUGAAAAUGUGUACGUAUGUAUGCAUGAUGAUAUGUAUGAGCGUAUGCAUGUAUGCGAAAAAUAUAGGAAAUGUGUGUACGUAUGUAGAUGUAUAAGUAUAUGAGUAUGUAAGUACAUAUAUGAUGUAUGAGUAGAAUGAAAUAAAUCGAUUUAUUUCGAUUAGUAAAUGUAUGAAUGUAAUAUGCUUAAAUAGGAAAUUAGAAACAAGCCGUAGACUUAAGUUUGUAUGAAUAAUAAUUGUAUACAAUUGGAAUAGAUUCAAUGAAUGAAAUGCAAGGGAUGAUAUGUGCUAGAAACUAGCAAUAUGAAAUGAAGGACACUAAUAAGAGCUCUGGAGCAGAAUCUAACAUAAGUAUAGUUAGGAAAGUAACUUACUUAUUAUAAGGGCAUAGGAACGAUGUGUACGAUUACGUACAUACAUGAAUUAAACAUUUGCCAAGAUCCCAAAUGCGUUUAGGUUGUAGUAAGUAUAGUGGAUGAACAAAUUGAAAGAGGUAAGAGUAGAAUGGUCUAGUUUGAAUGAGAAAGGUUUCGGGGACGAAACCUCUUUUAAGGGGGGUAGACUUGUAACGCCCCAAAAUUAUGCAAAUUAAUUAUGUUACUUAAGAUGUCUAGUCAUGUAUUAUUUUACCUAGUUAAGUAUGUAUAUGUUAGUAACUUGAUUAGAAGGAAGGUUAUAUGACAAAUAAAAUAUCUAAGUAAAUAGGAGGACUAAACUUGUUAAAAGGUUGAAAGU
rnacentral:lncRNA from 1 species